CCUACGGGAGGCAGCAGUGAGGAAUAUUGGUCAAUGGGCGCAAGCCUGAACCAGCCAAGUCGCGUGAGGGAAGACGGUCCUAUGGAUUGUAAACCUCUUUUGUCGGGGAGCAAAAGACGCCACGCGUGGCGUUCCGCGCGUACCCGAAGAAAAAGCAUCGGCUAACUCCGUGCCAGCAGCCGCGGUAAUACGGAGGAUGCGAGCGUUAUCCGGAUUUAUUGGGGUUAAAGGGUGCGCAGGCGGAAGAUCAAGUCAGCGGUAAAAUUGAGAGGCUCAACCUGUUCGAGCCGUUGAAACUGGUGUUCUUGAGUGAGGGAGAGGUAUGCGGAAUGCGUGGUGUAGCGGUGAAAUGCAUAGAUAUCACGAAGAACUCCGGUUGCGAAGGCAGCAUACUGGCGCUUAACUGACGCUGAGGCACGAAAGUGUGGGUAGCGAACAGGAUUAGAUACCCGAGUAGUC
rnacentral:rRNA from 1 species